CAGUGGCCAGUAAAUGGGAGGUCCAGUGACCAGUAAAUGGGAGGUCCAGUGACCAAGUACAUGGGAGGUCCAGUGUCCUAAUACAUGGGAGGUCCAGGGACCAAGUACAUGGGACGUCCAGUGACAUAGUACAUGGGAGGUCCAGUGUCCUAGUACAUGGGAGGUCCAGUGACAAUGUACAUGGGAGGUCCAGUGACCAGUAAAAAGGAGGUCCAGUGACCUAGUACAUGGGAGGUCCAGUGUCCUUGUACAUAGGAGGUCCAGUGACCAGUAAAUGGGAGGUCCAGUGUCCUAGUACAUGUGAGGUCCAG